rnacentral:rRNA from 1 species
AACGAACGCUGGCGGCAGGCCUAAUACAUGCAAGUCGAGCGCGCCCUUCGGGGUGAGCGGCGGACGGGUGAGUAACGCGUGGGAAUAUGCCCUUCUCUAAGGAAUAGCCUCUGGAAACGGAGAGUAAUACCUUAUACGCCCUUUGGGGGAAAGAUUUAUCGGAGAAGGAUUAGCCCGCGUUAGAUUAGGUAGUUGGUGGGGUAAUGGCCUACCAAGCCUACGAUCUAUAGCUGGUUUGAGAGGAUGAUCAGCCACACUGGGACUGAGACACGGCCCAGACUCCUACGGGAGGCAGCAGUAGGGAAUCUUAGACAAUGGGGGCAACCCUGAUCUAGCCAUGCCGCGUGUGUGAUGAAGGCCUUAGGGUCGUAAAGCACUUUCGCCAGAGAUGAUAAUGACAGUAUCUGGUAAAGAAACCCCGGCUAACUCCGUGCCAGCAGCCGCGGUAAUACGGAGGGGGUUAGCGUUGUUCGGAAUUACUGGGCGUAAAGCGCACGUAGGCGGAUUAGUAAGUUAGAGGUGAAAUCCCAGGGCUCAACCCUGGAACUGCCUUCAAUACUGCUAGUCUUGAGUUCGAGAGAGGUAAGUGGAAUCCGAGUGUAGAGGUGAAAUUCGUA